CAUUGCCUUUUGUAAGGCUCUUAUUCCAAUGAGGCCGAUGGACAGGGUCCUACAAGGAAGCAGGCAUGGAAUCUGGAUGGCUCUUGGCUCCCUCCCUCUCUUCCUUGCUGGAUGAAAGACACCCAGCCCCCGUUCUCAAUGGACAGCAGUCCCUUCUGCUGGCAAACACACUCCGGCUUCUCACUGCAGCUCUAGGCCAAGCAAAUGAUUCUUAUUUUACCGAUACGAGAGAUGGGUGCCCGUGACUGCCGGAGGGCACACAGCUGGUCGGCCGGCCUCUGUUGACCGUGACACAGCUGUAUUCACUCUUUUUGCCCCUCCCAUUCUUCACGGGGUGUUCCUUGCUGAGUUUCAAAGAGGCUCAUGGGACAUAAUCUAAACACAGCCCUGGACACCCUGAUCCCCCGCCCUCACCUCCUGACCUGUCAAGCCUGUAGCUUCAUAUUCAUGAGAUGAAGCAGAGCAAGUUAAGGCUGCUUAUCCUCAAGUGGGAGCCGCCGAGUCCCUGGGUCCUGGGGUGUGAUCAUCGCUUGUGUUUCCUGUGGAGAAGAGACCAUGGCUCACUCUUGCAUUGAAGAGAGCCUGCUCUCUAACUGAAUCCAGAGCUCACUGAUUGGCUGGCCAGUGAGCUCUGAGGAGCUACCGCUCUGCCUCUGCCCUCCAAUGUCAGGUUACAGAAGAUGUGCAGCCAUGCCUGGCUUUUCAUGGAGGUUCUCAGAGGCUGAACACAGGUCCUCCUGCUUGCAUGGAAGGCACAUCACCCGACGAGCCAUCUCCUCAGCCCCUGGUGUGAUGUUUUGGUCUUUCAGUGGACAUUAAUAGCAACCGAGGCUCAAGUGAGAGAAAGGAGAUUCACAACCAAAGAGUACCAUGAGAAGAGCAGCAUUGAUGAUGAUUUUCCAUCGUCCGAGGAAAAGUCCCCCUGCAGGCUCUGAGCUACCUGCAACAAGGCUCUGCCCAUUCUGCCCUGUUCUGCUCAUCGCUUUCCAGCCCUUGGGACAGCAUCUGGCUCAGAGGUGUGCUCAACAAAGAGGGAGAUGUUCCCUCAAGAAGACCCGAGGUCGUUUCAAGGAAAACUCUUCCUGGAAUCUGCCCCUCAGGGAUGGGGAGGGACUUGUUUUCACCAAGUGGACCCCAGUGCUGUCCCUGGGGACUUAAAGAAGCAAUCUUACCACCUGUUUGGGGUUUAGUGAACACCAUGCUGAAAAUUAAUUUUUUUUUUUUUGAGACAGGGUCUCACUAUGUAGCCCAGGCUGUCUUGAAGCUCCCCUAGCUCUAUUGAACUCUGCUGGAAUUA